ACACCGGCAGCCCUAGUGGUAGCUGUUUUUAUUGGGCCUAAAGCGUUCGUAGCCGGUUUGAUAAGUCACUGGUGAAAUCCUGUAGCUUAACUGUGGGAAUUGCUGGUGAUACUGUUGAACUUGAGGUCGGGAGAGGUUAGCGGUACUCCCAGGGUAGAGGUGAAAUUCUGUAAUCCUGGGAGGACCACCUGUGGCGAAGGCGGCUAACUGGAACGAACCUGACGGUGAGGGACGAAAGCUAGGGGCGCGAACCGGAUUAGAUACCCGGGUAGUCCUAGCCGUAAACGAUGCGGACUUGGUGUUGGGAUGGCUUUGAGCCGCUCCGGUGCCGAAGGGAAGCUGUUAAGUCCGCCGCCUGGGAAGUACGGUCGCAAGACUGAAACUUAAAUGAAUUGGCGGGG
rnacentral:rRNA from 1 species